GUUUGAUCCUGGCUCAGGAUGAACGCUAGCGGGAGGCUUAACACAUGCAAGUCGAGGGGCAUCACGAGGUAGCAAUACUUUGGUGGCGACCGGCGCACGGGUGAGUAACGCGUAUGCAACCUACCCUGUACAGGGGGAUAGCCCGGAGAAAUUCGGAUUAAUACCCCAUAAAGAUAUCGAGAGGCAUCUUUUGGUAUUUAAAGUUUCGACGGUACGGGAUGGGCAUGCGUAACAUUAGCUAGUUGGUAGGGUAACGGCCUACCAAGGCGACGAUGUUUAGGGGUCCUGAGAGGGUGAUCCCCCACACCGGUACUGAGACACGGACCAGACUCCUACGGGAGGCAGCAGUGAGGAAUAUUGGUCAAUGGGCGUAAGCCUGAACCAGCCAUCCCGCGUGAAGGAAGACGGCGCUAUGCGUUGUAAACUUCUUUUCCAGAGGAAUAAAAUUUUGUACGAGUACGGAACUGAAGGUACUCUGGGAAUAAGCAUCGGCUAACUCCGUGCCAGCAGCCGCGGUAAUACGGAGGAUGCGAGCGUUAUCCGGAUUUAUUGGGUUUAAAGGGUGCGUAGGCGGAUUAAUAAGUCAGUGGUGAAAACCUUCAGCUUAACUGGAGAACUGCCAUUGAUACUGUUAGUCUUGAGUACGGUCAAGGUAGGCGGAAUGUGUAAUGUAGCGGUGAAAUGCUUAGAUAUUACACAGAACACCGAUUGCGAAGGCAGCUUACUGGGCCAUUACUGACGCUGAUGCACGAAAGCGUGGGGAGCGAACAGGAUUAGAUACCCUGGUAGUCCACGCCGUAAACGAUGAUCACUCGCUGUUAGCGAUACACAGUUAGCGGCUAAGCAAAAGCAUUAAGUGAUCCACCUGGGGAGUACGGCC
rnacentral:rRNA from 1 species